GGCUACUGAUGAGAUGCAUGGCUCCUCAUGCUGGGUGCUUAGUAUCUUGUUCCUUACAACUGCUCUACACCUUCCACGGAAGGGAAAACUGAGGCUCUAGGUUGCGGAUGAAGUCUCUCAACUGCUCCUCUCGGCUCUCCAGCGUGGCAUACAGCUGCUGCAUCUGGCUCACCAGGUCUGUCUUUUCGCCCUUUAAGCGCUUCCGGUCAGCUUUCAUGGCUGUGGACAGGACAGAGGAUUAAUUAGCUCCCGAUACCCAAGCAGUUCCUCUGGGUGUCUUUUGUCUAGAUGAGAAAUGGGGUUCACUCAAUACAGUGUCUCUCCUGGACC